ensembl:lncRNA
UUUUAGUGAGAGAUUGAUAAAACAAAUCAUUUAAUACAGGUUGGGCAUCCCAAAUCUGAAAUGCUCCAAAAUUGAAUGUUUUUGUGUGCUGACAUGACAUUCAAAGGAAACGCUCAUUGGAGCAUUUUGGGUUUCAGAUUUGGAAUGCUCCACUGGUAAGUAUAAUGCAAAUAUUCCAAAAUCUGAGACACUUCUGGUCUCAAGCAUUUCAGAUAAGGCAGGGUCAACUUGCAAUAUAGUUAGAUGCUGUUAAGUACUGUGGGGAAAAAUUGAGGGUACGAAAGCUAUGGGGUGUGAGAAUUGGGGUAUAGGGUGACAUUCCACCAGAGCCCAGAGGAAGCCUUUAGUAGAAUGGCCCUGAGGUAGAAGCAAGCUUGGCUUCUUAGACAAACAUCAAAGAGGCCAUUGUGGCUGAGGCAGAGUGGACAGGGGAGAGUGGUAGGGGAUGCUACUGGAAAAGCGGUGGGUUGACUCUUACAGGCAGAGAUGAUUGGCUAGUGAUGGGACAACGGAAAAAUGAGGCACAGGAAGGUGAGGAAGUGAAAUAUUUUUCCUAGGGUUCAAGGAACACGCACCCCACCCCCUUCCCUUUGUAACUUUCUGCAGAGCCCAAGACCAGACCAGGUACCCAGGGAGUGGUUUGGGAUAAAGGCUGACUCUGACUCAUGGUUAGGUCCAGGUCCCCAUUCUCAGGGACAGUCUAUUGCCUGCCUGGUGAUACCCAGUGCAGGCCCAGGCAUUCGACAGCUAUCUUUAACCACAUUCAGGAAUCAGAAGAGUGAACGUGGCUUGAAGAUUUCCCUACUCACUCCAUAUUCAAUUGGCUUCAAAAUCUUAACCAUGACUAAAAGAAAACCUUAGAAUUUGAGAACAUCCUGGGGACCAGAAGAUGAUCUUCUAACCCAACAUAGAGAAAACUGUUCCCCCAAAAUAAUAGAUUUUUGAGAAGUUGGUGCUUUCUUAUGUUUUACUGUCGUGAGUGUGAGUUUUACAGGUAGAAAAGUGGCAAGCACUUCACUUUGAAGUUAUAUUGAGAAGAAAGGGAUGCAGGAGAGGAGCAAGAAUACAAGGCCACAGUUAGCAGUGAGUUGGAAGUCCUGACUGGUGUGUUUGGCCUCAGGAAAGUUCUUUGGCAGGCUCCACAGACAGGUUUGGUUUUUAAAAGUGCCAAAGAGCCACAAAUUUGCAUGUUAUUUGCGUUCCAGUCUUCACUUCCAGGUAUAUGGGAUGAAAUAAAUGAAUGAACAGUAUUCAGACUCCUGGGUAAGGGGUGGACUCAGAAAUCCAGACCACACCGAGGAUCCAAUCACUGGUCCAGCUUGGAUCAGGAGACACAGGCACAGAGACAGAGCAAACAGUCAUAGAGACAGGGGGACAGAGAGACAAACACCACCAAGUCCUUUUUACCAUGGAGUUUCCAGUCAAAGCAAGAAAGCAAGAUCCACAGUUUAUUUUAAAUAAGUCAACUUUUUAAAAAUUAGGAAGAAUCAUAUAGACAGGCAGAUAAAGGCAACAUUAUCCCUGACUAAUCUCCACCUUUGCCCCUUCAUCCUCUAUUUCUAGCUUUGUAUGGAACUACAAGGCUAUGAGUCUGCCUUCUUGAUAAGGUGUAUUGCUUGGUGUUUGCUUAGCCUCCUAAAUUAGUUAACUAUGAGGUCUACAGACUCUAAUACAGACUCUAAGAUCCUCAGAACAAGGUCAGCAGGCUAUAAAACCCUGAGGACAAGGUGCCUUUUAUUUCCAUAGUCAAACCAUCUUUUCACUCUACCCUUCAGGGUUUCUAAGCCCAGUGCUUAAACACAUGCUUGUAAAAUACCUAGCCUAAGGGGCUUCCUAGAAGUAAGAGACUCAGAGUCUCAAUCUAUGAGGGAUGCACAAUAUCACCGGAAAUAAAAAGGUUGGAGGAAACUGUAUUUAACAGAAAGCUGUGUAGUUAGAGAAAAUACUUCCACGAGGACCCUGGGAUAGAGACUGAGAACCCCCACCCACCCCAAAGAGCAUGCUAAAUGCUGAGGAAGGUGUUUUUGUUAAGGGUAGAGUGAGGCAUUAGGUUUGAGGCCAGAGAUGAACCAUUUGGGACCACAAAGGAGGUUGCAGGCUGCCAUGAGCAGUCCUCCUUCCUCCACCC